UAUCGGGCAAUGUGCGCACGCCUGACCCAGCAACGCCGCGUGAAGGUAGAAGGCUAUCGGGUUGUAAACUUCUUUUGUCAGGGACGAAGCAAGUGACGGUACCUGACGAAUAAGCCACGGCUAACUACGUGCCAGCAGCCGCGGUAAUACGUAGGUGGCAAGCGUUAUCCGGAUUUACUGGGUGUAAAGGGCGUGUAGGCGGGGAAGCAAGUCAGAUGUGAAAACCACGGGCUCAACCUGUGGCCUGCAUUUGAAACUGUUUUUCUUGAGUGCUGGAGAGGCAAUCGGAAUUCCGUGUGUAGCGGUGAAAUGCGUGGAUAUACGGAGGAACACCAGUGGCGAAGGCGGAUUGCUGGACAGUAACUGACGCUGAGGCGCGAAAGCGUGGGGAGCAAACAG
rnacentral:rRNA from 1 species